UACGUAGGGGGGCGAGCGUUUGUCCGGAGUUACUGGGCGUAAAGGGCACGCAGGCGGUGCGGCGCGUUUCGCGUGACAGCGGAGGGCUUAACUCUCCGAGGAUGCGAAAGACGGCGGCACUUGAGGGCCAGAGAGGGACACGGAAUUCCGGGUGGAGUGGUGAAAUGCGUAGAGAGUCCGGAGGAACACCGGAAGGCGAAGGCAGUGUCCUGGCUGGUGACUGACGCUGAGGUGCGAAAGCUAGGGGAGCGAACGGG
rnacentral:rRNA from 1 species